rnacentral:rRNA from 1 species
ACAUCCAAGGAAGGCAGCAGGCGCGAAAAUUACUCAAUCCUAACCCAGGGAAGUAGUGACAAGCAAUACCGAUAGGGAUCCUUUUGGAUUCUUUGUUGGAAUGGGCGUAAUUUAAACCCCUACGUGAGUACCCACUGGAGGGCAAGUCUGGUGCCAGCAGCCGCGGUAAUUCCAGCUCCAGUAGCCUAUCCACAUGUUGUUGCAGUUAAAAAGCUCGUAGUUGAAUGUCUGGGAUUUGAGUCUGCCGCUCAGCGGCGACUCUGCCCGCCCCGCCGAAAGGCGCUUUUACUGUGAAAAAAUUAGAGUGUUCCAAGCAGGCCUAGCCUGAAUACCUUAGCAUGGAAUAAUAACAUAGGACUGUCUGUGAUGUUGUUGGUUUGCAUCCAGCGGUAAUGAUUAAUAGGGACGAUCGGGGGCAUUUCUAUUCAGCAGUCAGAGGUGAAAUUCUUGGAUUUGCUGAAGAGAAACUGCUGCGAAAGCGUCUGCCAAGGGCGUUUUCAUUAAUCAAGAACGAAAGUCAGGGGAGCGAAGAGGAUUAGAUACCCUCGUAGUCUUGACCAUAAACCAUGCCGACUCGGGAUUGGUGUUCGCCGCAGGGCACAUCAGCACCGUAUGUAAAAACAAAGUCUUUGGGUUCCGGGGGGAGUCUGGUCGCAAGGCUGAAACUUAAAGGAAUUGACGGAAGG